CCAGGACUGAACCAGGACUAAACCAGGACUAAACCAAGGCUAGACCAGGACUAAACCAGGACUAAACCAAGUCUAAACCAGGACUAAACCAGAAGUAAAACCAGGACUAAAUCAGGACGAAACCAGGAUUAAAACCAAGACUAAAACCAGGACUAAACCAGGACUAA